rnacentral:lncRNA from 1 species
AAGAACUUGCUGCUGCUGUCUCCAUAAGAUCCAAGUGCGGAGAGUUCCCGUGAUGGAACUGCUGAUGGUUCAACCCUUUAAAGUUCAGGUUUCUGUCUAAGGAAGUUUCUGCGUUCAUAUACCUACCCUCUUUCAAGUCUCUUUCAAGGUCAAUUUGAUCUCUAUCACUUUUCACUAUAUCUGGCAAUUUCUCAGCAGCGACACCCCUAUCGUUUAAGUCCCUAACUAGGUUAAAUCGAGCUCUGACUCUUUUAACUAUAUCCAUCAUCACAUUUUUUGCAUCAACACUCCCCUCAUUCAAGUCUCUUUCAAGGUUAAUUUGAUCUCUGCCACUUUUAAUUUUAUCAGGCACUAUUUUGCCAUCAACGAUACUCUCGUUCAAGUCUCUUUCGAGGUUAAUUUGAUCUCUUCCACUUUUUGUUAUGACUGGAAUUUUGUCAGCAUCAAAAGUCCCCUUGUUCAAGUCCCUUUCAAGGUUAAUUUGAUCUCUGCCACUUUCCAUUAUGUCGGGCACUUUUUCAACAUCAAAACUUCCCUCAUUCAAAUCUUCCUCAAGGUUAAUUUGACCUCUACCACAUUUCAUUAUACCUGGCACUUUUCCAGAAUCAACACUCCCCUCAUCAUGAGCACCUUCA